AAUGAGCCUGCGAGUUGUGGUGUCUGGCAAGGUUAAGCAAACGCGAAGCCGUAGCGAAAGCGAGUCUGAAUAGGGCGCUUAGUCAGAUGCUGCAGACCCGAAACGAAGUGAUCUAUCCAUGAGCAAGUUGAAGCUAGUGUAAGAACUAGUGGAGGACUGAACCCAUAGGCGUUGAAAAGCCCCGGGAUGACUUGUGGAUAGGGGUGAAAGGCCAAUCAAACUUCGUGAUAGCUGGUUCUCUCCGAAAUAUAUUUAGGUAUAGCGUUGUGUCGUAAUAUAAGGGGGUAGAGCACUGAAUGGGCUAGGGCAUACACCAAUGUACCAAACCCUAUCAAACUCCGAAUACCUUAUAUGUAAUCACAGCAGUCAGGCGGCGAGUGAUAAAAUCCGUCGUCAAGAGGGAAACAACCCAGACUACCAGCUAAGGUCCCUAAAUCUUACUUAAGUGGAAAACGAUGUGAAGUUACUUAAACAACCAGGAGGUUGGCUUAGAAGCAGCCAUCCUUUAAAGAAAGCGUAAUAGCUCACUGGUCUAGUGAUUUUGCGCGGAAAAUAUAACGGGGCUAAAGU
rnacentral:rRNA from 2 species